rnacentral:rRNA from 1 species
AGUCGAGCGCACCUUUCGGGGUGAGCGGCGGACGGGUUAGUAACGCGUGGGAAUAUACCCUUUGGUACGGAAUAGCCUCUGGAAACGGAGAGUAAUACCGUAUGAGCCCUUCGGGGGAAAGAUUUAUCGCCAAAGGAUUAGCCCGCGUUAGAUUAGGUAGUUGGUGGGGUAAUGGCCUACCAAGCCUACGAUCUAUAGCUGGUUUUAGAGGAUGAUCAGCAACACUGGGACUGAGACACGGCCCAGACUCCUACGGGAGGCAGCAGUGGGGAAUCUUGGACAAUGGGCGCAAGCCUGAUCCAGCCAUGCCGCGUGAGUGAUGAAGGCCUUAGGGUCGUAAAGCUCUUUCGCCUGUGAAGAUAAUGACGGUAGCAGGUAAAGAAACCCCGGCUAACUCCGUGCCAGCAGCCGCGGUAAUACGGAGGGGGUUAGCGUUGUUCGGAAUUACUGGGCGUAAAGCGCACGUAGGCGGACUGGAAAGUAUGGGGUGAAAUCCCAGGGCUCAACCCUGGAACUGCCUCAUAAACUAUCAGUCUAGAGUUCGAGAGAGGUGAGUGGAAUUCCGAGUGUAGAGGUGAAAUUCGUAGAUAUUCGGAGGAACACCAGUGGCGAAGGCGGCUCACUGGCUCGAUACUGACGCUGAGGUGCGAAAGUGUGGGGAGCAAACAGGAUUAGAUACCCUGGUAGUCCACACCGUAAACGAUGAAUGCCAGUCGUCGGGUAGCAUGCUAUUCGGUGACACACCUAACGGAUUAAGCAUUCCGCCUGGGGA